rnacentral:rRNA from 1 species
AGUCAAUAGAUACCCUGGUAGUCCACGCCGUAAACGAUGAGUACUAGGUGUAGGAGGUAUCGACUCCUUCUGUGCCGCAAGUUAACACAAUAAGUACUCCGCCUGGGAAGUACGGUCGCAAAGAUUAAAAACUCAAAGGAAUUGACGGGGGCCCGCACAAGCAGCGGAGCAUGUGGUUUAAUUCGAAGCAACGCGAAGAACCUUACCUAGACUUGACAUCUCCUGAAUAGCGCAGAGAUGCGUGAAGCCCCUUCGGGGCAGGAAGACGAGGUGGUGCAUGGUUGUCGUCAGCUCGUGUCGUGAGAUGUU